ACAUACGACCAUAGGAAGUGGAAAACAGAGCUUCCCGUCCGCUCAGCUGUACUUAAGCCACUUGCCGGUCGGUUAGUAGUUGGGUGGGUGACCACCAGCGAAUCCCGACUGUCCCGUAUGUU
rfam:Arthroderma gypseum CBS 118893 supercont1.5 genomic scaffold, whole genome shotgun sequence.